rnacentral:rRNA from 1 species
CACGUAGGGUGCGAGCGUUGUCCGGAAUUAUUGGGCGUAAAGAGCGUGUAGGCGGUCCGGUAAGUCCGCUGUGAAAGUCCAGGGCUCAACCCUGGAAUGCCGGUGGAUACUGCCGGGCUAGAGUCCGGAAGAGGCGAGUGGAAUUCCUGGUGUAGCGGUGGAAUGCGCAGAUAUCAGGAGGAACACCGAUAGCGAAGGCAGCUCGCUGGGACGGUACUGACGCUAAGGCGCGAAAGCGUGGGGAGCGAACAGG